rnacentral:lncRNA from 1 species
UAGCGGCCGUCCUUCAAUUGUUUCUACAAACCCAAAUUAAAGAAGCUUAAUAGCAUUGAGGUAAUCAUGCAACAGAAAGCCACAAGCAUAUCUAAAACGAAGAUGAGAAUCAUAUGAAACCUCAGCAGUGAAAAUGAGCAUCCAGGUUCUGCCAGGGGAUUCCGGUCCACCAAGAGUUUCAAGAAACGCUGAGGGGUUGAGUUUGGCCUUUUCAAUAACAGAAAAAGCUGACAAAAUUUCCUCAGCAGGGAUUUUCCUCGUUUUGGCUGCAUUUUUCAACACUUUGACGCUCUCCUCAACUUCCUAUUAUAUAUUUUAUACAAAAUGGAAAGAUAACAGGUUAUGAAAAUCAAUGCAUUCUCUAGUAACCAAGCAGUUGAAUGAAAGGAAAAACGUACUCUGCUUGGCUCCUGCUCUUGGACAAUGAGUGGCUCCUUCUCCUUCUCAUCAAGGGUAGCUCGGGUCCUUGCCUUGAGGAAUUUGCCAGAAUUGAUACAAGGAAUGUGUGGCUCAAAAGAGUUGACAUGUUUACGAGGGAGUAGGAAGGGUCUCAGAGAUGAUAAUUGAGAGGAAGGCGAAUUGGGAUAAGUAUGGCAGAUUAAGGGCGAGAGAAAAAAGGCUGAUGGUGCUGCUUGGAAGCCCAUUUUGCUAGGUGACUACAAUUCCUGUAGUGUAGGACUAUGUUAAAGCUUAAGUUAUAAGAACAGGCAAGUAGCGUACGGCUGAUUUUAGGCGAGGGAGAGAAAGAGAUGGAAAUGCAAGGUCUGGGUUUCGGCACACAAACGUUGAAUGUGUUCCCAGAGAUGAGAUGGAUAGAGAAACAACAGGGAGAGACGUGGCAUAGCCGAUAAGUCCAAAUGUCCCCACCACCAAUGAUGUAACGCCAGCCUUACCCUACAGGGAUUGCCGAUCAACUUUAUACUUUAUUUUUUAUCUAUAAAUAAACAUUGCUCCCUCCCUACACUCCUCACUAUCCACUCUUCUCUCUCUCUAGUUUCUCUACAGCUCUUGAAAAUGAGAGUCCAAAUGAGUUUCUUGGUUUUCUGGGUCCGCCUAGUCCUUCUUGCCCAGUACGUUGCAGGCAAUGAAGCGUCGCGGUGCAGCCGGAGACGGUGAAGCUAGACACUGGAGGUCUGAGCAGGGAGAGUUUUCCAAAGGGUUUCGUUUUCGGAACAGCCACGUCCGCUUAUCAAUUCGAAGGCAUGGCCCAUUGUGACGGUCGUGGCCCCAGCAUUUGCGACGUCUUCGUUAAAAUUCCCGGUAAUGAAACUGAUGCUAAAGUGGUCAAAUGUAAAAAAGAAGAAAAACAAAUUUAAAAGAGUUAAUUUCUGUGACAUGAUCAACAGGGAUUGUUGCCAAGAAUGGCACGGGUGAAGUAUCAGUGGACCAAUAUCAUCGCUACAAGGUAGGUAUUUGAUAGGCAUUUAGCCCUCUAAUUCUAUAACCACAAACGUGUGUUAACCUUAGUUGUUAUUGCUGGCCUGCGCAUCAUCUACAGGGGAUUGUCAAGUUUAAAACGUUUCUCUUUUGUUACAGGAAGAUGUGGAUCUUAUGGCAAACCUGAAUUUUGAUGCGUACAGGUUUUCAAUCUCAUGGUCCAGGAUUUUCCCUGGUACUUCCAUCAUCAACAUAGUACAUAUACUUUGAUCAACAGAAAUUGUUGUUGGUGUCGUGUUGCUUAUCAUUUAUUCCAAUUGGUUUUAUUUAGACGGGACUGGGAAGGUAAAUUGGAAGGGAGUUGCAUACUACAACAGGUUGAUCGACUCCUUGCUACAAAGAGGUAAUUCUUUAUAAAGAUUAAGAAUGUAAGAAUUCCCAAACUAGUAUUGCCAGGUUGUGUUGAAACAGGGGAGCUGAUAUCAAUCUAAUGCUAUCAUCAUCAUUUCGUCUGAAUUCGUAUUAUCCCUAAUUAUCAUGGUUCAACAUGUAACCUGUGGGCUUUCUUCCCUGCCCUAACUACAUUUAUUUAUUCCAGUGACUUCCCAUGUCUUCAAUGGCAGAGCUGCCCCUUGAUCCAAUGAAGGACGAUCAGGCAACAAACUAUACUAAUAUUUAGCAAUAGAAAUAGGAGUACCUGGUAUGAAGAAUUCUUUAUAUAUCUAAAGACACCAACUCCACCAUUCAUGGGGUAUGUCUGCUCAUCUCUUCUUCUGCCAUAUCUUCCCCGAUCCCUAUCUUUCAGUGAAGUGCUACUUUAUUCCCUUCCUUGGCUUCUCACCUGAUCAACACUCUUAUAAAGUGCCCUUAGAUUGAUUAAACAAAUCAUUUGCCUUUCUUUAGGAGCAACUCUUUGUCAGUAGUGUAAUAAAAUAUUUAAAAUAUGAAGCAAAGUAGACCUACCUAAUGUAUUGUCUUCAUUUCUUUCUGUCAAAAUAUGGAGUAACCGAAUCCAACAAGGCAGCCAAAAGUCGGUAUAUAAUGAUAAAAAAACAACUGAAACUAUGGCUCUAAUCUUUUAAAUACUAUGUCAUUUAUCCUUCUUAGGUAUAAAGGAAUUAUAGCUCGCAAAAAAAAUAAUAUAUAUGUACAUAUAUAAUAUGAUAAAAGAAUUUGGAAUAUCUGAUACCCCUCAGGCCUCAGCUCUAUGUUGGAGUCCACAUCAUAGACUUUGUAAUAGCAGUCUCCGACGAUGUCGGUUCUUCCUUAAAAAGACUCAUGGACUAUCAUCAUUGGGGAGUAGACAUGAAAAUAAGAGGUAAAAAUACAUAUUACUAUAAGUUAAUUAGUUUUAAAACUAUCUUUAAUUAUUAUUAAUUUAAAUUUUAAUUAAGUUACAUAUAUUGACAUAUUAAAUAAAUAUAUUAAAAUCAUCUUUAAUUCAACUAUAUAUAUAACUUUCAAAUCGAUAUAUUAAAUUAUAUUAAUUUAGUUUAAACAAUUUAUUUUAAUUACUAUUAAUUUGAAAAAAAAUGGUUGUAUAAUAGAGAAAUUGAUUCAAACCCACUCAUGAUCAACCAUCAGGAUCCAAGAUGAUCAGCUUCGUUGCCUAACCUUAGCACAGCUAUGCUUUCAUCAACAGCUAGCUAAACUGAAUUGGUAGCAGAGGUGAAAGAAUGCCCCUUAGGCCUAGCUUUAUGUAGUAGGAUUAGGUAUUCAAGCCCUGUAAUGGCAGAGUAGUCCACUAGCAUAAACGAACAUCCAAUAUUCCCCGCAGAGACGAAGGAUGAUUAAUGCAAGAGAUGGCUUCUUCAUCUACGCAAAGAACUCUUCAUAUAUACAUAUACAUAUAGAAUAACAUUUGCUAAGAUGCAGCUAUGCGGUUGAAGACUAAAGAAGCAGCCAUGGGGACGUAGAUAGUCCAACCAUUUUCAAUGUUAAGAAAUGCUUGUACGGUUUGCCCUCAGAUCGCCUAUAAAGCUUUUAAGUGGAUUAGUUUAUGCAACAAAAGGAUUUGAGUCGCAUGUCUUUAUUAUAGGCAGGGUUUGACUGCCAGCUCGGCGGGCUGACUGUCAACGCAAAGUAAAUAAAUAUGUACCUAUUCAUUAGUUUAUCUUGCUUGGGGAAUAAGAAAUUAAUGGCUGUCAAAUCGCCAUGAAUUUAGAAAAGUCCUGGCAGCCUGCAGUGGCACACACACCAGCAUCCAGGAAGAACAGACCAGAGAUUCGGAAGGAGCAACUAUGAUUAAUUCAUUAGUUUGUUUUGCUUGGGGAAUAAGAAAAUGGCGCCAUGAAUCUAGAAAAGUCUAAAGGUUGUUGGCUCCUGGCAAGUGGCACACAUACAAGCGUCCGAGAAGAGCAGCCCAGGUUUAGAAUUAGAUCAAGUUAAUUGCAAUGGCUCUUUUGUCACGAAGAUGGAAAUAAGAUUGAGCCUUGGAGUGCAAGAACCGAUGCGAGGUGCAAUCUCGUAAUAUUCUCAGGGACUUCCUUUCUUGGGGCCGGCUUUGGCAUAAAGCCGCCCACUAAGCAAGACCGACUUUACCAAAAAGCCACCAAAGGUCAUGCUUUAGGCUCCACAAUUUUAUAGGUUUUAUAAUUUUAUAUAAUAUACAAAAAUUAAAAUAAUUAAUAAAAUAUUUUUUAAAUUAAAUAUUUAUUUAUUUUCACUUUUUACCUCUUAUUAAUCCUCAAUUAUUUAUUUCAGUUCUCUACUUUUAUAAAAAUCAAAAUAAUUAAUAAAAUUAUAUAUUUUUUUGUUUUUUUAGUCAUAUACUUAAUAAACUUCUAUUUUUUAUUACUUUCUAAUUAUCAUAAUGUUAAUAAUUCUCAAUUAUUUUUUAUUUUCAAUGAACUAAAUGUGUUUUUAAUGAUCUCUAACUAACAACAAUUUUUUUAAUUUCAAUAAAAAAGACUUUAUUUAAAUAUUUAAACGCUUUAAGCCUUUAAAGGUAUUAAGUUACCCUACCACCAAGACUCUUGCUUUAGGUCCUAUAUUUUUAUAAGCCCCAUAUAUUUGUAUAAUAUAAUUAAUUAUAUUUAAAAAUAUAUAAAAAUUAAAGUAAUUAAUAAAAUAUUUUUUAAAUUAAGUGUCUAUUAAAUAUUUAUUUUUUCUCACUUUCUAUCUCUUAUUAAUUCUCAACUAUUUAUUUCACUUCUCCAAUUAUAUAAAAGUCAAAACAAUUAAUGCAAUGAUAUAUUCUCUCACUUUCUCAAUUAUGUACUUAAUAAAUUUAUAUUUUUUAUCAUUUCUUAAUUCCAGUAACUUUAUUAAUUCUUUAUUUUUUUUAUUUUUAAUAAACGUAACAUAUUUUAAUGAUAUCCAACUAACGGUAAUUUAAUAAAAAGAGCUUCAUUUAAAUAUUUAAUCGCUUUAAGUCUUUAAAAGUAUUGAACCACCCCUGCUCAUUCUCAGUUUACACAUACAGUUUUAACAUAAGUGGCGUUUGGUACUUUAUAAUGUAAUAUGAUUACAGGUAAUAUGAUUGCAAGUAAUGUAUUGCAAGCAAUGUGAUUGUAGCGAAAAUAACAUUACAGUAUUUGAUAUACAAACAAAAUAAUAAUUAAAAUAUAGAGAAGAUAACAUUGCAGCGUUUGAUUUACAAGUACUCUACUAGGAAUGUAAUGUUAAUUUUUAAAAUUAUCCUUAUUUAUUAAAAUACAAGUUUAAUAUAAUUAUAUUUUUUAUUAUUAAUUUUUAUAUAAUAUCAUCUUUUAAAUAUAUUUUUAACGUCAUAUAUUUUAUUUUUAUUUUUUAUUAUAAUAUUAUAUUUUGAUUUUUAUUAUAAUAUUAUAUUUUAUUUUAAUUUUUUAAAUAUAAUAUUUUAUAUUUUAUUUUAAUUUUUAAUUCUUAUAUUAUAUAUUUUAUUUUAAUAUUUUUUAUUUUAAUUAUAAUAUUAUAAAAUAUUUUUAACAAAGUAAUAAAUUUGACGGGUAAAAAUGUCUUCAACAACAUUACAGAGUGCAAUAUAAUGUGAUUGUAUUAGUUUUAAAUUACAAUCACAUUACAUCCCUUGGCUAUAAUGUGAUUGCAUUGCAAUCUUACAUUGCAGUGGUUUGUUGCAAAACAAAUACUGUAAUGUACUUUAAUUAGACACAUUACAAGAAAUGUGCUCUCACUUUCUUCAUACCAAACACUACCAUACUUCAAAAAGUUCAUGUUGAAAAAUAUAACUUUGAAAAAGAAUAUUAAAAAGAAGUAGUAGGAAUGUAAGAAGAUUUUUUAUUUCAUUUCUUAUUCCAGUAUUUCAACCAUAAAUUAUAAUGCCUCUAUUUAUAAACACACAUAGAUGAAGGAGAAAUGAAUUUAUAUAAAUAGAGGGGAUACACUUAGUAGAUAAGAAUGUACAUAUAUUGAAUGAAAUCAGAAAAUAGAGAUGUACCAACAUAAAUAUGUACAUUAGAUAUGAGACAUACAUUAGAUAUUAUGAAAUACAAUGGAUAUUCAUAUCUAUUCAAAACAGUUAACAGAUUAAUCAAUUUUGAUUGCAUGGGUUUUUUUUAGAUUUCUUUUUAAUUUAAAAAAAUUUGAAUUUAACAUUUUGAAAUUAUAUGUAUCAAUUAUUAAAUUAAAUGUUUGGAUACAAAUUUUUAUUAAAAAUAUAAAAAAUUAAAAAAAUUACUUGCAACAAUUAUAAAAUGUUGGUUUUGUUUUUUUAUAUUUUUUUUCAAAUGGCAUAAUUUUUUUUAAUAUUAAGGAUAAAAAAAUUUAAAAUUAAAAAUAAAUAAAUACGAUCAUUUUCCUCAAUCAAAAAUUUUUUAACAUUCAUAUAUAUAUAUAUAUAUAUAUAUAUAUAUUAAAAAUGUAUCCGUGUGUUUUGCACAUGAAUACAAUACAUGUUGUAAUAAUUGUGUUUAUUAUAUUUUUGAUUUUAGAAAUUUUUACGGGUGAGGAAUAAAACAAGUUCAUUUAUUAAAAAGUACAUAUGUAAAAUAUCAUAGGUAUUAGUAGAAAAUAUAAAGCAAUACAACAGUAGUUUUUUAAGUAGACCGUAGCAGGAGCGUUUAUGGACAGUUUUCAAUGAAAGAAAAAUGACUAAUGUGAAUAUCCAAAAAAAAACAUUAAAAUCUAUUUUAAUUCCAUCUCACCUACACAAUCACAAAACCCGACCCAUAUAUACCUUAAAACCGAAAGCCAGCCAUACCUUAAAACCGAAAGCCAGCCAUCCAAUAAUUAUAAUUCAGAUCAGAAUGAGAUAUCCUACAAAUGAAUACCCGAUUGUUAAGCUUAAGUCCAAAGCCAAUCCUAGAAAAAGGCCUACAAAACAUCAUCAAGUCCACCUGCUAAAUUGAAGUCCAAACCCAAACCCAAAAUAACUUAUCAAUCACAUUUCUUUAAAAGCAAAACCUGGGGAAAUACUGAAACUGGCAUUCGUGAGAGAGAGUUGGGUUUUGUUGGUCUAUCACAAUGCUGCCAGUGUUGAAGAGAAAAAAUGAAAAUUGAAAAAGCAAAAGAAGAAGAUUAUGUAAAGAGAUGGAAACCCCUUAUCCCUGACCCUUGACCCAUUGCCUCCACGUCCACCACUGCCCCACCUUUGCUGCUCAUGAUAUCAAAAAGAGAAAAGAGAGGAGAGAGAUGGACAAAAGAGAAAAAGAAAACAAAGGAAAAAAAAAAAAAAAGAAGAAGCAAAAGUACAGAAGGAGGUGAAAGGAGAAAUUUCUGGAAUGGGUGUCUGCACAAAAAGAAGAAAAGAAUUCCCAAAACAAUCUCAAGGUUUUGCCUUGCUUCUCAGAAAAAUGGGCUCUAUUCCUAGUGUUUCUAACAGAUUUCGCAGAAUCUCUAACAGUUCGUAAGUGUUUCUAACAGAUUCAUACCUAGCAGUUCUUUGUUUGUCCCUGUUAUAUCCGGAUUGUAACGUGGCCUUGCAGAGCCUUUGAAUCAUACACUCUUGACACUUCUUCUGGUUCCUGGAUCACUUGCCCUCCCUCUCUCUUUCUCUUUCUCUCUCCCUUCCGCAGCCGACCAGAUGUCACAUGCUUUAUUGGAUAUUCCUUUUAUAUAGAGUAGAGUUAUGAUAAAAAUUGCUUUUGUCCACCCAUCUUUACUUAUCUGGAAUCCGUAAUACAUGUAUAGUAUUUACAAUUUAUUUUGUCCAAAAAUUAAUCCAUUUUUAUCAAAAUUAUGUGUUUAAAUUCGCAUAUAUGUGUUUGAACACGUCUCUGAUUUACAUUGUAAACUAUCAUUUAUUUCAUACUUUUGUAUGAGGGUUGUCUUUUGUAUUUGGGCUGAGGGAAACCAAUUUCUUCCCUUCGCAUUCUAAUGAAAUGCAAUUUCACUUUCAAAAAAAAAAAAAGUUAUCUCAUACUUUUAUAUUCCUAACUAGAGAAAGGCCAGCGUAAUGUUACGAGCCCAGUCUGCAUAAAAUCAAAAAACAGUGAAAGUUCAAGCUUUAAAAAAUAUAAAUUCAAAAAACCAUAUAUAUAUAUAUGGAUUUUAUUGUCCUUUGCCCGAUGUUUGUUCUGCAAGUAUCAGAAAGAAAUAUCUUUUCCUGGUCGUCGGUUGUUAGUUAAAUAAUGUUUGAUUCGCAUUCUCUGUGCCCUUUGCCAUUGUGGUACCCAAUAAGCCUGGCAGGAGUGGUAGAAAAUCAAAAUCAAAGGACGGAGGACCAUCUCCAUCUUCUCCAGUCAACGGCCAAGCACCAAGUGGUUAACUCGAUGCCAACCAUGGACAAUCCCAGCCUUAUCUACCACUGCCAAUACCGUCUGCCAUCACUGCUCUAUUAUAUGUUAUGUGUAAUUUUAUGCACGAACGGUCCUCCACCCAAAGCACAAUACGUGACAGAUUGUGUCACUGGAUUAUUUUCUUCUUGCUUCGAAAUGUUAAUUUGAUAGAAUAUAUAAUGUUUAUGUUUAUAAGAUUUUUAAAAUUUUUUAUCUGUUUGAUAGGAGACUGAAAUAUCUUAUUUACUGAUUAAUUUUAUUGUCUGUUUUUUUGAGUCUAAUAUUCCAUGUUUAUUGUACUAACAAUGAUGAUAUCCGCACUAAAAUAAAAUGAAAGCAAAAAACAAGGAGGGGGAUAUAUAAAAAAUAUUAUUCUAGCAUCGCAUAUACAUCGAUUAUUGCAAUUAGGCUUUACUUGAUUGCUCUUCUUUUUUAUUUUCAUGUUUUUACUUUGACAAUAAUUAUUAUGAAUUACAAGUAUAUAGUAAUAUAUAUAUAUAUAUUUUUUUUUUCGGAUUUAAGAUUAAACAAAUAAUUUGGACAUAAGGAUUCCAUCAUUACCUUCUCGAAAAUUUCAGUGGUGAAACUGUGGAUGGCUUGUGUCAGACGAGUCAAUAAUGUGGACAAGAAGAGACGGCGCAGAGGAUGAGAAUGUGCCUUGGUAUUAUCUCAUUCAUUGAAAUCAGGGUAUUACAUAGUGCUAUUUAUAUGUACAGGUAUGCGAUCAGCAAAGAAAAAUAAAGCUAAAAACAUUGCUAACUAACUAAUGAUUAGCUACUAACUGAAAUUUAAAAACAAAUCAAAACGCUGCGCAUUGGUCAUCUGCUUUUUAUUUAAACGGUGAGUUUUGGUUCCUCUUCUCCUUUCAUUCCUGCAAGCUGAUAUACUCACUUUUCUUUAUUUGGUCUGUGUUUCUUCAUCCUUCAAACAUUUAUUCAAAUCACCAUCAUGAGAGUAAUGUCUAACAGCUUGAACGAACAAGGAGUGCUAGAAUUGGAGGCUCCUUCUUGAUUGAGGGCCAAUUUCUGUCGAUGCAGAAAGAUUUGGAAUGCCUUCUCCUCCACAACGAAUCAUUUGCUACUGGUGGAGCAUCAGCAAUUCAAAGCAUUCUGAUCAGCUCAAUUGCAUCCAUUUCUGGGUGUGAUAUUUAUACAGUCCAAAGACCCCAUUCGGCUUCUCCAGGAGCUGCUCGUGGCACGUUGGCUGUGCAGCAAGAAAGGCAGUUUUGUUCCAAACUCAUCGAUUUGCAAGCGGUCAUCAUGCAGGGCUGGGAUUCACAGCUUUAGUUUCUUCAUUCCAGUCAAUACAGACUUGGGUUUAGUUUCUUCAUUACAUCAAAAAGAGAGAAAUCCUGAAUUUAGUGUGAGGUUUUACAAGUGUUAAUUGUUUUGACAUGGCUGAAUUGAAACUCAUAGCCUCUUCACUUAGCCUUUUCUGCACAAGGAUUGAAUGGGCUUUGAAGCUUAAAGGUGUGAAAUAUGAGUACCUUGAAGAAGAUUUACGAAACAAGAGUCCUCUUCUUCGUACCCACAGACCUGUCCAUAAGAAAGUUCCUGUUCUCCUUCACAAUGGUAAACCGAUUGCCGAGUGACUCAUCAUUCUUGAAUACAUUGAGGAGACAUGGAAGGACAGUCCCUUGCUCCCUAAAGAUCCAUAUGAGAAAGCCAUAGCUUGCUUUUGGGCAAAAUUUGCCGAUGAAAAGGUACUUCAUCAAAACCAUUUGCCAUUUAAUUUCAUUCUAGUUUUAAGUGGUGUUGUGGUUGUUUAAUUCUUUGUUUUGAUUUCUUAAUGAAAUGCAGUGCUUGCAUGGUGCAUUUGAUGCUUGCCGUGCUGAAGGAAAUGAAAAAGAAAAAGCCAUAGAAUCUGCGGCAGAGUCUUUUGCAUUUCUUGAGAAGCAGCUUGAAGGGAAGAAAUAUUUUGGAAGGGAACAGAUAGGGUAUCUGGAUCUAGCCUUUGGUUGGAUCCCUCAGGAAGUUGGUUGAUGGCCAGAGGACGCCACUGCUUCACCAAUGGGGGCAGGAAUUCAUGGAAAUUCUGCUGAUCAAAGAAUGCCUUCCACCUAGAGAUAAGCUGCUUGACUACUUUACUGCUAGCAUCAAUUACCUGCGUUCCUUGGCAGCAAGCCAGCAAUGAGUUCUUGUUUCCAUUCAUGCUUUACUCCAUGGCCAAGAACUAAAUAAUUGGAGAUGUUUUAAUUUUCUAUUUGUUUCAGUUGUGUUCCAAACUAUGUUUUUCAAUAUGUCACCUAUAGCUGACAGAUAUGGAGUGAAGCCAACUACUCAACUUUUGUUGUCAAGCUUAAAGGUGUGGAAUAUUCAGUUCAAAUCAAAGAGUUGCUGACUUUAGUUUCUGAGUUCAAUCAUUUACUAACUACUUCAGGGCAGAUCAACCAUUGUCAUUUUGGUAUUUCCAAGAGUAGCAUUUCACUUUGAGACUAGGUAACAGAGGAGCGCGACAAAAAAAAAGCAGAUGCAAUACAGACAAGGUUUCUACAGAAGGAAAAAGAUGACGAAAAAUAAGCAUAUGUAACAGAAGCUCAUUCUCUGAGAUCAAUCUCAGUGGCAUUGUUAUCUGAUGGUAAUAUGUUAAAGGGAAAAGCACUGUUGAACCAAAAAAAACACUGAUAAAACCUAGAAGAAAAGCAGAGAAGUUCGAAAAACUAAAUGGUAGCUCAAAGCUUUUCUAGAGUAUAACAAAGGAAGCUGCUUGGUUGCUAGUGAAGCAACUCAACUUUACUAUGAAAUGAAAUUAGCAUGUGAUUUUCAAAAUCAACUCAUCUGAGACAAGAAGUUUAGAGAUGUAUUACAUUUGGAAUAGUUGGAGAUCUAGUUAUGUACAGAGUGGAAUAUUUUUAUCAUUCUACUAGGAAUACAAUUUGGUGUAUAUUUCAGAGAUUUCAAAGAAGUAUUAAGUAGUAACACGGUGACACUGGCACCAAAAUGCUGUUCCUCCGCUUCUGCCUUGAGCAACUGCUAUUUCUUCAUCAAUAUAAAACCAGAUAAAGAAGGGGUCCUUCGUGCUUGGUUCUCUAUCUUCUUUCUGGCCAAGCCUGAUCUCUAAAGGGUUAAAAGGUCCAAUUUUAACUCAGAUUUUCUCAAAGAUGAAGGACAAUAUUCUGUUCUUCCAUGAAGAUUUUCCUUCAAAGGUUAAGAACCCAAUUGGUCCUAGAAAUACUCCAUUCUCAAUCCUCUUUGCCUAACAGUUCAAGCAAUGAUUAAUUAGUUUCUAAAGUUGACAAAAAGCAAAGGAACAGCUAGCUUAGUUCUACUUUCAUUGGCACGAUAAAAGCAGUGGAAAAGUUAAUCACUGGUUUGUCAACAGGCAAAUCAAAUCCAAAUUCAUCCUAAAGAUAUUACUCACCAUACAGAAAUAUCACAUUUGAUGAAUGCAUUGAAUUCUAUCAACUAUGAGCACGAAUGAUCAUCUUAAACAAGCAAUUUCAGCAAAAACUACACACUUCGAUUAAAAGCCUCCUUAUAACAUAUGAAUUUUCCCCCCAACCUUAAAAAUUAUUCCAAUACAAGUAAUGCAACAGUUUCCAAAAAAAUUUCAGACGUGUUGUACUGAAGGGAACUAAUCCGACCAUAUAAUACAUGAUUUGAAUCAGCUAAACAAAUCCGAGCAUAAUUCUAAACUAAACAUUGUAUACUUGUAAAAUAAACUAUAAGAAAGGUUUCGAAAAGAUAUCCAAAACACACUUUCAACCUUUUUUGCUAAUGCUUUCCAAGAGGCAUUAUGCUCAUGCAACCAGAUGUAAAAUCUUUGUUGUCAGCUUUUUCUCUUUUUUAUUAUCAGAGAACUGGACUCAGUUCUACAAUUCCUAAUUCUUGAAUCCUAUACCACCCCUAGGGAAUAUGUCCAGCAUUGGAACUUCAAACUAUUUAGAAGUAGCUGGAAGCUUUCAAUGUUUCACUUUUACUUAUGUUAUUCACUUUAAGCAGCCGGAACUUUUAAUCACAUUGAGAAGAGAUUAAGGAGCUUAUCGCAGCAUCGAACCUCUGAACAGCUGUAAGAGGGAAGUAGCGGCCGUUCUUCAAUUGUUUCUACAAACGCAAAUUAAAGAAGCUUAAUAGCAUUGAGGUAAUCAUUCAACAGAAAGCCACGAGCAUAUCUAAAACGAAGAUGACAAUCAUACGAAACCUCAGCAGUAAAAAUGAGCACACAGGUUCUGCCAGGGGAAUCCGGUCCACCAAGAGUUUCAAGAAACGCUGAGGGGUUGAGUUUGGCCUUCUCAAUAACAGAAAAAGCUGACAGAACCUCCUCAGCAGGGAUUUUCCUCGUUUUGGCUGCAUUUUUCAACACUUUGAC